rnacentral:rRNA from 1 species
CAGUAGCCGCGGGAAAACGUAGGUGGCAAGCGUUGUCCGGAAUUAUUGGGCGUAAAGGGCUCGCAGGCGGUUUCUUAAGUCUGAUGUGAAAGCCCCCGGCUCAACCGGGGAGGGUCAUUGGAAACUGGGAAACUUGAGUGCAGAAGAGGAGAGUGGAAUUCCACGUGUAGCGGUGAAAUGCGUAGAGAUGUGGAGGAACACCAGUGGCGAAGGCGACUCUCUGGUCUGUAACUGACGCUGAGGAGCGAAAGCGUGGGGAGCGAACAGGAUUAGAGACCCCCGUAGUCCCUGUCUCUUAUAC